UACAGAGGUCUCAACCGUUGUUCGGAUUCAUUGGGCGUAAAGGGUGCGUAGGCGGUCGCGUAAGUCAGGUGUGAAAUUUCAGGGCUCAACCCUGAAACUGCACUUGAUACUGCGUGGCUCGGGUACUGGAGAGGAGACUGGAAUUUACGGUGUAGCAGUGAAAUGCGUAGAUAUCGUAAGGAAGACCAGUGGCGAAGGCGAGUCUCUGGACAGUUACCGACGCUGAGGCACGAAGGUCAGGGGAGCAAACGGG
rnacentral:rRNA from 1 species